CAGUCGCCACGGUAAUACGAGGGGGGCAAGCGUUGUUCGGAAUUAUUGGGCGUAAAGGGCUCGCAGGCGGUUUCUUAAGUCUGAUGUGAAAGCCCCCGGCUCAACCGGGGAGGGUCAUUGGAAACUGGGAAACUUGAGUGCAGAAGAGGAGAGUGGAAUUCCACGUGUAGCGGUGAAAUGCGUAGAGAUGUAGAGGAACACCAGUGGCGAAGGCGACUCUCUGGUCUGUAACUGACGCUGAGGAGCGAAAGCGUGGGGAGCGAACAGGAUUAGAUACCCCCGUAGUCCCUGUCUCUUAUAC
rnacentral:rRNA from 1 species